AACCUCCGCAAUGUGAGAAAUCGCGACGGGGGGAUCCCAAGUGCCAUUCUUAACGGGAUGGCUUUUCAUUAGUGUAAAGAGCUUUUGGAAUAGGGGCUGGGCAAGACCGGUGCCAGCCGCCGCGGUAACACCGGCAGCUCUAGUGGUAGCAGUUUUUAUUGGGCCUAAAGCGUCCGUAGCCGGUUUAAUAAGUCUCUGGUGAAAUCCUGUAGCUUAACUGUGGGAAUUGCUGGAGAUACUAUUAGACUUGAGACCGGGAGAGGUUAGAGGUACUCCCAGGGUAGAGGUGAAAUUCUGUAAUCCUGGGAGGACCGCCUGUUGCGAAGGCGUCUAACUGGAACGAUUCUGACGGUGAGGGACGAAAGUUAGGGGCGCGAACCGGAUUAGAUACCCGGGUAGUCCUAACUGUAAACGAUGCGGACUUGGUGUUGGGGUGGCUUUGAGCUGCUCCAGUGCCGAAGGGAAGCUGUUAAGUCCGCCGCCUGGGAAGUACGGUCGCAAGACUGAAACUUAAAGGAAUU
rnacentral:rRNA from 1 species